rnacentral:rRNA from 1 species
CUACGUGCCAGCAGCCGCGGUAAUACGGAAGGUUCAGGCGUUAUCCGGAUUUAUUGGGUUUAAAGGGAGCGUAGGCCGUGGAUUAAGCGUGUUGUGAAAUGUAGACGCUCAACGUCUGAAUUGCAGCGCGAACUGGUUCACUUGAGUAUGCACAACGUAGGCGGAAUUCGUCGUGUAGCGGUGAAAUGCUUAGAUAUGACGAAGAACUCCGAUUGCGAAGGCAGCUUACGGGAGCACAACUGACGCUGAAGCUCGAAGGUGCGGGUAUCAAACAGGAUUAGAUACCCUGGUAGUCCGCACAGUAAACGAUGGAUGCCCGUUGUUAGUUCACUUUAGAAUUAGCGACCAAGCGAAAGCAUUAAGCAUCCCACCUGGGGAGUACGCCGGCAACGGUGAAACUCAAAGGAAUUGACGGGGGCCCGCACAAGCGGAGGAACAUGUGGUUUAAUUCGAUGAUACGCGAGGAACCUUACCCGGGCUUGAA